AUUGCUGAAUCACUAUAUUGUACACCUAAAACUAAUGGAACACUGUAUGUUAACUAUAAUGGAGUUACAAUUUAAAAAAAAAAUGAACUUAUGACUCAAUUUGGGCUAAGGGAAUCCAGGUGGAAAUGAUUAACUCACUUCUAGGCAUGCUUAUGCCUUGUGAUUAAUUCUCCAUCUGUUCAAUCUAUCUGUUGGAUGGACAGAGAAAACAUUGAAGUCCCAGAAGAAGGCUGAGCCACACCAUGGAAAGGACUAAUCUCUGAAUGACUAUGGGAAUAGAGACCCUCACUGCUCUUAAAGACUUCUGGAACACUACAGUUUGGAUACAAGACCUAGAACAAGUAAAUAGAAUUAUGCCGAUUACAGUCAUGGAAUUUUAGUGUUCUAUGAAGUCAACGAAGUCAGAAAUUAUGAGCAUGUUCUUUGCUCCUAAGAGUAUGAUCAAAAUCAUUUGUGCACCUCAGAUUUGUGAAACCUCCGAGGUAAACUCAAGACCUAUUAAUGGAACAGACUGAGCACAAUGAAGGAAGAAAACAGUCCUGAAAGAAAGUAAAAAUCUAGAAAACUUAUUCAAUACUGCCUAACAGAGCAACUACUGUUUCCCUUGAGCCUCCCUUUUGGAUCACUCAUUCUCAGGGAAAUCAGCCACCAUGUUCUGAGCUGCUUUACAGAGAAGCCCAGGAGGUAAAGAGCUGGGGGGACCACAGUCCAGCAGCCAGCAAGGAAAUGAAGCCUGCCAACAACCAGGAUUCUCUGGUCCUAAUAGAGCCUUCAGAUGCGAGCGGGCCAAGCCAACCGUACUCUUGUGAGAGACGCUGAGCAAGAACCACCCAGAUGCCCACUCCCAGACUCCAAGCCCUCAGAAUCUGUGAGAUAAUAAACGUUGUUUAACCUGCCACCUUGAGGAAAACGAAUAUAGAUGCAAAAAGCACAGAGUGUGGGGACAUAACGUGUUGCUUUAUCUCUCAGAACUUUAUCUUCCCAUUCUUAAAACCAGGUCUUACUUAACUGUAUUUUAGAGAGAAGUGCAGAACAUAGAAAAAUAAUGUUUAACUCUAUCAAGUAUGUGGUACUGUACCAAACGUAUAGGGUCAUAUAGGAUACAUGGCACAUAUUAUAAUUUUACCAUUUUCAUUUUGAGUACUAUUUCAAAUAUGUCUUUUAUGUUAAACUCUUUAAAAGAAAAGAAAUAAAAAAAUUAAAAUAA